rnacentral:rRNA from 1 species
AGUGAACGCUGGCGGUAGGCCUAACACAUGCAAGUCGAACGGCAGCACAGUAAGAGCUUGCUCUUACGGGUGGCGAGUGGCGGACGGGUGAGGAAUACAUCGGAAUCUACUUUUUCGUGGGGGAUAACGUAGGGAAACUUACGCUAAUACCGCAUACGACCUACGGGUGAAAGCAGGGGAUCUUCGGACCUUGCGCGAUUGAAUGAGCCGAUGUCGGAUUAGCUAGUUGGCGGGGUAAAGGCCCACCAAGGCGACGAUCCGUAGCUGGUCUGAGAGGAUGAACAGGCACACUGGAACUGAGACACGGUCCAGACUCCUACGGGAGGCAGCAGUGGGGAAUAUUGGACAAUGGGCGGAAGCCUGAUCCAGCCAUACCGCGUGGGUGAAGAAGGCCUUCGGGUUGUAAAGCCCUUUUGUUGGGAAAGAAAAGCAGCAGGUUAAUACCCCGCUGUUCUGACGGUACCCAAAGAAUAAGCACCGGCUAACUUCGUG